rnacentral:rRNA from 1 species
GAUGAACGCUGGCGGCGUGCCUAAUACAUGCCAGUCGAGCGAACGGACGAGAAGCUUGCUUCUCUGAUGUUAGCGGCGGACGGGUGAGUAACACGUGGAUAACCUACCUAUAAGACUGGGAUAACUUCGGGAAACCGUAGCUAAUACCGGAUAAUAUUUUGAACCGCAUGGUUCAAAAGUGAAAGACGGUCUUGCUGUCACUUAUAUAUGGAUCCGCGCUGCAUUAGCUAGUUGGUAAGGUAACGGCUUACCAAGGCAACGAUGCAUAGCCGACCUGAGAGGGGGAUCGGCCACACUGGAACUGAGACACGGUCCAGACUCCUACGGGAGGCAGCAGUAGGGAAUCUUCCGCAAUGGGCGAAAGCCUGACGGAGCAACGCCGCGUGAGUGAUGAAGGUCUUCGGAUCGUAAAACUCUGUUAUUAGGGAAGAACAUAUGUGUAAGUAACUGUGCACAUCUUGACGGUACCUAAUCAGAAAGCCACGGCUAACUACGUG